rnacentral:misc_RNA from 1 species
UUCCCUUCUUCGUGUGCAAAUUUGCAGUCGGCUGAGUCCAGUGGAAUCUCUACUGAGAGAUGGCAAAUCAGCUUUACGGCUAUAACCCUAGUGGCACCGCCGGAAUAGUAGCCGCCAAUACGAGAUCCAUGGAAGAUUAUCUCUCUAAGGAUAAGACAUUGCUGAGUUCUUCAACUUAUUUUGGUUCUACCGCCUAUUCCAGUUAUCAGACUGAUACUUACUCUCCUACUGCGAGUAGGAUUCCAGGUUAUGGACCUCCUGGUGUUGAUGUUACACAACCUGCCGCUGUUACUGACUCUUAUUUUUCUAGCUUGAAGCGCUCAUCCUCUAACGCACUGUAUCAUCAGGCACUUUUGGGUGCACAUAAUACAAUUGGGCAAGCUGAAGCUUGGUGUUCAGCCAAUCCUUUAGCCAAGCGCCCUAGAUUCGAGAGUGCAAGCAAUUUAUCUAUAUAUCCCCAGAGGCCUGGAGAGAAGGACUGUGCCCAUUAUAUGCAAACACGAACUUGUAAAUUUGGAGAUAGCUGCAAGUUUGACCAUCCUAUUUGGGUUCCUGAGGGUGGUAUCCCGAAUUGGAAAGAGGUUCCAGUUUCAACUGAAUCUCUUCCUGAAAGACCCGGAGAGCCUGAUUGUCCAUAUUUUGUGAAGACUAAAAAAUGCAAGUUCGGUGAUAGAUGCAAAUUUAACCAUCCCAAAGAUAACGCAGCUCAUUUGUUUCAGGGUUCUGUACAAAAUCCUGGUGUUUCUGACUUGCCUGAGAGACCUUCUGAACAGCAAUGCACGUUCUACAUGAAGACGGGAACGUGUAAAUUUGGUGCUACCUGCAAAUUUCACCAUCCAAGAGAUAUACAAUUGCCAUCUCCAACACAAAAAAAUGGCUCUGUGGGGAAGCUUGGAUCAGCUAAUUAUGAGAUGACUGAGGAUGUGAAUCUAGUCAAGCCGCUUUCUGUUGCAGCUUUAUUGCACAACUCCAAGGGCCUUCCCAUUAGACCGGGUGAAGUUGAUUGUCCUUUCUACCUAAAAACUGGCAGCUGCAAGUAUGGAGGCACUUGCCGUUACAGCCAUCCUGAAAGAAAUGGAGUUGGUAUUGGUCCUGCCCUUGUAGCCUCUCCUGCAACACAUUGGAACAUUGGAAUGGUUAAUCCAGCUGCCUCUCUCUUCCAAAAUUUUGAUCCGAGACUGACUCAUACAAUGCUUGGGGUGCUUCCACCUGUCUAUCCACAACGACCUGGACAAGUUGAAUGUGAUUUCUAUAUGAAAACCGGGGAAUGCAAGUAUGGUGAAAAAUGCAAGUUUCAUCACCCUCUUGAUCGUUCAGCAUCUGCAGUGUCAGUAAAGGAUGUACAGCAGCCAAAUGUUAAACUUACCCUUGCUGGUUUACCAAGGAGGGAGGGUGCUGUACUCUGUCCAUACUACAUGAAGACCGGUAUGUGCAAGUAUGGGGCAUCAUGCAAAUUUGACCAUCCACCACCUGGAGAGGUCUUGGGUAUGACAACAUCCCAAGGGGCAUCGUUGUCUGUUGAUGGAGUCGAUAAUGUUGAUGUGAAUGAAUAACAGCAGUAAGGUUAUAGCUGAAAGGCCAUUUUCGUAGUCACAUCCUUUUCAGGAAUACCUUAUUCUGCUACCUCUUGGUAGCAAACUUGUAAAUCAUAUUUUUUCUAGAUCAGCUUUGGAUAUUCUUUUAGAGUUGGAACACAGUUUUUCGUCCACACCAAAAUGUGAUGGAACAUUUUUUUUUUUGUUGCAAUGAUA